rnacentral:ncRNA from 2 species
CCAAAUAUAGUGUAUACAGGUGUCAGCACUGCCUAUAAGACAGUCUGGCUUAAUAGGGAAGCAUGGUGCAAAUCCAUCACGGUCCCGCCACUGUAAGGCUUUCCGGUUUCAUACGAUUAGGUAGCCGGCCACAUGAGGACAAAUUGCCACUGAAGUACCACAAAAAUCUUCGGGAAGGCGUCCAUGUGCGAGAACCAAGUCAGGAGACCUGCCUGUUGCAAGAGACACAC